rnacentral:rRNA from 1 species
UACGGAGGGUGCAAGCGUUAUCCGGAUUCACUGGGUUUAAAGGGUGCGUAGGUGGGCUGGUAAGUCAGUGGUGAAAUCUCCAGGCUUAACUUGGAAACUGCCAUUGAUACUAUCAGUCUUGAAUACCGUGGAGGUCAGCGGAAUAUGUCAUGUAGCGGUGAAAUGCGUAGAUAUGACAUAGAACACCAAUUGCGAAGGCAGCUGGCUACACGAAUAUUGACACUGAUGCACGAAAGCGUGGGGAUCAAACAGG